CAGGUCAGGGGGGGCUACCCGCUGAGUUUAAGCAUAUCAAUAAGCGGAGGAAAAGAAACUAACAAGGAUUCCCCUAAUAACGG
rnacentral:rRNA from 1 species